GAUGAACGCUAGCGGCAGGCUUAAUACAUGCAAGUCGAACGGGAUUGAGAAGCUUGCUUUUCAUGAGAGUGGCGCACGGGUGCGUAACACGUAUGCAACCUGCCUUGUCCAGGGGGAUAGCCCGUUGAAAGACGGAUUAAGACCGCAUAACAUCAUUGAAUGGCAUCGUUUAAUGAUCAAAUAUUUAUAGGGACAAGAUGGGCAUGCGUCUGAUUAGCUAGUUGGCGGGGUAAUGGCCCACCAAGGCGACGAUCAGUAGGGGAUCUGAGAGGAUGAACCCCCACACUGGUACUGAGACACGGACCAGACUCCUACGGGAGGCAGCAGUAAGGAAUAUUGGUCAAUGGGCGCAAGCCUGAACCAGCCAUGCCGCGUGCAGGAAGACGGCCCUACGGGUUGUAAACUGCCUUUAUACGGGAAUAACCCCGGUUUCGUGAAACCGGCUGAAUGUACCGUAAGAAUAAGGAUCGGCUAACUCCGUGCCAGCAGCCGCGGUAACAC
rnacentral:rRNA from 1 species